GGUUAACGGGGAAUUAGGGUUCGAUUCCGGAGAGGGAGCCUGAGAAACGGCUACCACAUCUAAGGAAGGCAGCAGGCGCGCAAAUUACCCAAUUCUAAUAGCAUAAAAGAGGUAGUGACAAGAAAUAACAGUACAAGGCAGUUAAAAUGCUUUGUAAUUGGAAUGAUAGAAAUUUAAACAAUUUUUAAAGUAUCAAUUGGAGGGCAAGUCUGGUGCCAGCAGCCGCGGUAAUUCCAGCUCCAAUAGCGUAUAUUAAAAUUGUUGCAGUUAAAAAGCUCGUAGUUGAAUUUCUGCUAAAAAUAACCGGUGUGCUUUUAAUAAAAAAAGUACUACCUUAGUGUGUUUCUAGCAAUAAUGUCUUUUGAAAUGUUUUUUACUUUAUUGUUAAAAGCAAUAUUCAGGAUUUU
rnacentral:rRNA from 1 species